UACGUAGGGGGCAAGCGUUGUCCGGAUUUAUUGGGCGUAAAGAGCGUGUAGGCGGUUAUACAGGUCCGCUGUGAAAACUGGAGGCUUAACCUCUAGACGUCGGUGGAAACAGUAUAACUAGAGUCCGGAAGAGGAGAGUGGAAUUCCUGGUGUAGCGGUGAAAUGCGCAGAUAUCGUCAAGAACACCAAUAGUGAAGACAGCUUACUGGGCUUAAACUGACGCUGAGGCACGAAAGUGUGGGGAUCAAACAGG
rnacentral:rRNA from 1 species